UACGUAGGGGGCAAGCGUUGUCCGGAAUCAUUGGGCGUAAAGAGCGUGUAGGCGGCUCGGUAAGUCCGCUGUGAAAGUCCAGGGCUCAACCCUGGAAUGCCGGUGGAAACUGUCGAGCUAGAGUCCGGAAGAGGCGAGUGGAAUUCCUGGUGUAGCGGUGAAAUGCGCAGAUAUCGGGAGGAACACCGGUGGCGAAGGCGGUUCUCUGGACAGUUCCUGACGCUGAGGCACGAAGGCCAGGGGAGCAAACGGG
rnacentral:rRNA from 1 species